rnacentral:rRNA from 1 species
AGAGUUUGAUCCUGGCUCAGAGCGAACGCUGGCGGCAGGCUUAACACAUGCAAGUCGAGCGGGCGUAGCAAUACGUCAGCGGCAGACGGGUGAGUAACGCGUGGGAACGUACCUUUUGGUUCGGAACAACACAGGGAAACUUGUGCUAAUACCGGAUAAGCCCUUACGGGGAAAGAUUUAUCGCCGAAAGAUCGGCCCGCGUCUGAUUAGCUAGUUGGUAGGGUAAUGGCCUACCAAGGCGACGAUCAGUAGCUGGUCUGAGAGGAUGAUCAGCCACAUUGGGACUGAGACACGGCCCAAACUCCUACGGGAGGCAGCAGUGGGGAAUAUUGGACAAUGGGGGCAACCCUGAUCCAGCCAUGCCGCGUGAGUGAUGAAGGCCCUAGGGUUGUAAAGCUCUUUUGUGCGGGAAGAUAAUGACGGUACCGCAAGAAUAG